AUUGAACGCUGGCGGCAGGCUUAACACAUGCAAGUCGAGCGGAGAUGAGGUGCUUGCACCUUAUCUUAGCGGCGGACGGGUGAGUAAUGCUUAGGAAUCUGCCUAUUAGUGGGGGACAACAUUCCGAAAGGAAUGCUAAUACCGCAUACGUCCUACGGGAGAAAGCAGGGGACCUUCGGGCCUUGCGCUAAUAGAUGAGCCUAAGUCGGAUUAGCUAGUUGGUGGGGUAAAGGCCUACCAAGGCGACGAUCUGUAGCGGGUCUGAGAGGAUGAUCCGCCACACUGGGACUGAGACACGGCCCAGACUCCUACGGGAGGCAGCAGUGGGGAAUAUUGGACGAUGGGCGGAAGCCUGAUCAAGCAAUGCCGCGUGUGUGAAGAAGGCCUUUUGGUUGUAAAGCACUUUAAGCGAGGAGGAGGCUACUUAGAUUAAUACUCUAGGAUAGUGGACGUUACUCGCAGAAUAAGCACCGGCUAACUCUGUGCCAGCAGCCGCCGUAAGAC
rnacentral:rRNA from 1 species